GACGAACGCUGGCGGCGUGCCUAAUACAUGCAAGUAGAACGCACAGUUUAUACCGUAGCUUGCUACACCAUAGACUGUGAGUUGCGAACGGGUGAGUAACGCGUAGGUAACCUGCCUGGUAGCGGGGGAUAACUAUUGGAAACGAUAGCUAAUACCGCAUAAUAUUAAUUAUUGCAUGAUAAUUAAUUGAAAGGUGCAAUUGCACCACUACCAGAUGGACCUGCGUUGUAUUAGCUAGUAGGUGAGGUAACGGCUCACCUAGGCGACGAUACAUAGCCGACCUGGGAGGGUGAUCGGCCAAACUGGGACUGGGACACGGCCCAGACUCCUACGGGAGGCAGCAGUAGGGAAUCUUCGGCAAUGGACGAAAGGCUGAACGAGCAACGCCGCGUGAGUGAAGAAGGGUUUCGGAUCGGAAAGCUCUGUUGUAAGAGAAGAACGGGUGUGAGAGUGGAAAGUUCACACUGUGACGGUAUCUUACCAGAAAGGGACGGCUAACUACGUG
rnacentral:rRNA from 1 species